rnacentral:rRNA from 1 species
AGCGAACGCUGGCGGCAGGCUUAACACAUGCAAGUCGAGGGGAGCGGCAGACGGGUGAGUAACGCGAGGGAACGUACCUUUUGGGUCGGAACAACACAGGGAAAGUUGUGCUAAUACCGGAUACCGAAAGAACGGCCCGCGUCUGAUUAGCUAGUUGGUGAGGUAAUGGCUCACCAUUGCGACGAUCAGUAGCUGGUAUGAGAGGAUGAUCAGCCACAUUGGGACGGGGACACGGCCCAAACUCCUACGCGAGGCGGCAGUGGGGGAUAUUGGACAAUGGGGGCAACCCUGAUCCAGCCAUGCCGCGUGAGUGAUGAAGGCCCUAGGGUUGUAAAGCUCUUUUGUGCGGGAAGCGGUACCGGAAGAAUAAGCCCCGGCUAACUUCGUGCCAGCAGCCGCGGUAAUAC